rnacentral:rRNA from 1 species
GGUGGAAUUUUCCGCAAUGGGCGAAAGCCUGACGGAGCAAUGCCGCGUGAAGGAUGACGGCCUGCGGGUUGUAAACUUCUUUUCUUAGAAAAGAUAUUGACGGUAUCUAAGGAAUAAGCAUCGGCUAACCCCGUGCCAGCAGCCGCGGUAAUACGGGGGAUGCAAGCGUUAUCCGGAAUGAUUGGGCGUAAAGCGUUUGAACAGGUGGUUUAAAAAGUCGAUUGUUAAAACCCAAGGCUUAACCUUGGACUGGCAAUGGAAACUUUUAGACUAGAGUAUGGUAGAGGUAGAUGGAAUUACCGGUGUAACGGUGAAAUGUGCAGAUAUCGGUAAGAACCCCAAAGGCGAAAGCAAUCUACUGGGCCAAAACGGACACUUAAGAACGAAAGCUAGGGGAGCGAAUAGGAUUAGAUACCCUAGUAGUCCUAGCUGUAAACGAUGGAAACUAAGUAUUGAGCUUAGAGCAGUACUGUAGCUAACGCGUUAAGUUUCCCGCCUGG